rnacentral:rRNA from 1 species
UAGGGAAUCUUCCACAAUGGACGCAAGUCUGAUGGAGCAACGCCGCGUGAGUGAAGAAGGGUUUCGGCUCGUAAAGCUCUGUUGGUAGUGAAGAAAGAUAGAGGUAGUAACUGGCCUUUAUUUGACGGUAAUUACUUAGAAAGUCACGGCUAACUACGUGCCAGCAGCCGCGGUAAUACGUAGGUGGCAAGCGUUGUCCGGAUUUAUUGGGCGUAAAGCGAGUGCAGGCGGUUCAAUAAGUCUGAUGUGAAAGCCCUCGGCUCAACCGGAGAAUUGCAUCAGAAACUGUUGAACUUGAGUGCAGAAGAGGAGAGUGGAACUCCAUGUGUAGCGGUGGAAUGCGUAGAUAUAUGGAAGAACACCAGUGGCGAAGGCGGCUCUCUGGUCUGCAACUGACGCUGAGGCUCGAAAGCAUGGGUAGCGAACAGGAUUAGAUACCCUGGUAGUCCAUGCCGUAAACGAUGAGUGCUAAGUGUUGGGAGGUUUCCGCCUCUCAGUGCUGCAGCUAACGCAUUAAGCACUCCGCCUGGGGAGUACGACCGCAAGGUUG